rnacentral:lncRNA from 1 species
UGUUGUAGAUUGACUGAUUUACUUUUGUUCUCCACUACGAAGCUAAAUACCCUGUACAUCCCUUUUUAAGUAAUCGUUGAGCUUUAAUACAAGAUAUGAGACAUGGAUGUUGGGGGAUCCCUUAUCCCUUUGAAUUUGAAGGCCUUGUCAUUGGGAAUAUUAAAAGUCACCAUCUUUCCAUGACAAUCUAUAUUGGCAUGGUAUGCAACCAACUAGUCCAUUCCUAAUAUAACGUUAAAAUCAUGCAUAUCUAAGAGUCUGAGAUCUACUAGUAACUCUUUAUUGGCAAUCUCCACAAUACAUAGUCGACAUAUUGUACUAGUAAUCAUGUCCUUAUUGGCUAAGGUAGAGACUACUAAUACAUAAUCUAACAGUGAUUGUUCAAUGUUUAGAUGUUGAGAAAACUCAAGUGAUGCAAA